AACUGCGCAUGCGAGGGAUCUAGGCUGCGCGCUCCUUAUGAGAAUCUAACGCCUGAUGACCUAUCACUGUCUCCCAUCACUCCCAGAUGGGACCGUCUAGUUGCAGGAAAACAAGCUCAGGGCUCCCACUGAUUCUACAUUAUGGUUUCCUCUGGCCCCAUACUGGGAUCCAUUCCUGGGACAACUAGAAGUGCCAGGGAGUUAAAGCCCCAAGAGCGACCUUCAAGCCAAUAAGAGAUGGAGUUGGAAUGAAAACCUCAGCUUCCUCAUACCUCAGUGGGACAAUCCUGAGAUGUGUUCCUCAAGUCUCUCCAAGGACCUGAUGGGACUGAGUCCUGGUUGCUCAUGAGAGAAACCAGCAGGACUGGAUGUCAGUGAUUGCACCAUGCAGGAUUACAGAUUGUGCUGAGUUUAGAUUUUCUGCCUUCCUCCUCAGUUGUCAGGCUGCUAGCCAGCUCUUCUGCUCCCAUGACACCUGCAUCGAAUGCCUGCCCUUUCCUUACUACAAGACCCUUUCCAGUUCCCAGAUUAGAAUCUGCCACAGGCUAGGAAUCCCACAUCCCAGUAGUGAUUUGGCUCCAAGUGCAAAGGCACCUAGUGUCUGCCUUUUGUUCAGCAGCUUGGUGAUGGACAUAUCCAGGACUCAGAGACCCCUUUCCCUCAGCUCUCUGAGUUGGAAGCUGUCAGGUGCAGAAGGGCAACAUCUUACAUACACAGGGUUUGGGCAGGUCUGGGCAGUGCCUGGUUAAUGUUAAAUAAUGCAGAUAAAGGAAUUGUUGACAUCUGAAAGUCAAUAUGAAAAUUGUAUGCACUGCUGUGACUCAUGCAACUUCACUCCCAGCCCUGGUUCUCAUGAUUCCAGAAGUGGAAAAAAUAAGGCAACUCUUUUCCUCACAAUUCAAAAAAAUACCUAUUGAGCAACAUCAGCUUGGCCCACACAAGACAAUUUUUAUCCCUUCCGUUAGUUAACUUUGCUUUGGCCAAAGGCCAGAAAAACCUCAUUCUUUACAGGCAACCUCAGACCACCAUCCUGGAUCCACUUCAAAAACUAACUGCAGACCUGUGUCUUACUAGAGGUGAUUUGGUAGCAUUGAAGAUCAAAUCCCGAUUUAAAAAAUUAAAAAAAAAAUGAACAUAAAAUGCAUUUUUAACAAUG
rnacentral:lncRNA from 1 species